rnacentral:rRNA from 1 species
GAUGAACGCUGGCGGCGUGCCUAAUACAUGCAAGUCGAGCGAACGGACGAGAAGCUUGCUUUUCUGAUGUUAGCGGCGGACGGGUGAGUAACACGUGGAUAACCUACCUAUAAGACUGGGAUAACUUCGGGAAACCGGAGCUAAUACCGGAUAAUAUUUUGAACCGCAUGGUUCAAAAGUGAAAGACGGUCUUGCUGUCACUUAUAGAUGGAUCCGCGCUGCAUUAGCUAGUUGGUAAGGUAACGGCUUACCAAGGCAACGAUGCAUAGCCGACCUGAGAGGGUGAUCGGCCACACUGGAACUGAGACACGGUCCAGACUCCUACGGGAGGCAGCAGUAGGGAAUCUUCCGCAAUGGGCGAACGCCUGACGGAGCAACGCCGCGUGAGUGAUGAAGGUCUUCGGAUCGUAAAACUCUGUUAUUAGGGAAGAACAUAUGUGUAAGUAACUGUGCACAUCUUGACGGUACCUAAUCAGAAAGCCACGGCUAACUACGUG